UGUGACUUCCGGAAANCCUUGGACAGG
rnacentral:piRNA from 1 species